rnacentral:tRNA from 1 species
ACUGCAGUGGUGUAGUGGUUAACGCUUCAGGCUUUAAUCUUUGGAGGGUCUCAGGUUCGAUCCCUGGCGUCUGUU